CCUACGGGAGGCAGCAGUGAGGAAUAUUGGUCAAUGGACGGAAGUCUGAACCAGCCAUGCCGCGUGCGGGAAGACGGCUCUAUGAGUUGUAAGCUGCUUUUGUACAAGGGUAAACCUGAAUACGUGUAUUCAGCUGAAAGUACUGUACGAAUAAGGAUCGGCUAACUCCGUGACAGCAGCCUCGGUAAUACGGAGGAUGCAAGCGUUGUCCGGAUUUAUUGGGUUUAAAGGGUGCGUAGGCGGAUUGAUAAGUGAGAGGUGAAAUGUCCGAGCUUAACUCGGGAACUGCCUCUAAUACUGUUGAUCUAGAGAGUAGAUGCGGUAGGCGGAAUGUAUGGUGUAGCGGUGAAAUGCUUAGAGAUCAUACAGAACACCGAUUGCGAAGGCAGCUUACCAAUCUAUAUCUGACGUUGAGGCACGAAAGCGUGGGGAGCAAACAGGAUUAGAUACCCUUGUAGUC
rnacentral:rRNA from 1 species